GUGAAUCAUCAAAUCUUUGAACGCAAAUUGCACUCUCUGGUAUUCCGGAGAGUAUGCCUAUUUGAGGGUCAGUUGAAAUAAUAUAAAUUCCAAUAUUUCUCUUAAUUUAAAAUGGGUUGUCCUUGUUUUGUGGUCGCCUAGAAUCCAUGACAAGCUCAUUUUCUUGAUUUGCGUCAUACUUUCAGUUAUCUCUUUACUUAACCAUGAAUUAUCGGGUAUGUUGUGAAUUUUUCAACAU
rnacentral:misc_RNA from 1 species